CAUUCCGGACAGCCGAGCACAUUGCCUUACAUGUGUUAGGAAAGUCCAUGCUAGCACAGGCUGUGAUGCCUGUAGUGAUUGUGAUAGCGGAAACCAUAACGCUAUGCACCUCAUUCGAGGUGACGGCUGGGUACGCACCUGUCAAAUGGUGUCAAGCCCUUUAAAAGUGCCACAGAGACGAGCUUGUCUGGAAACGGACGAGGUGGAACGGGUAAACCCCACAAGCUAGAAACCCAAAUUUUGGUAGGGGCACCCUUCAAGAGGAAACGAACUUGCGAAGGGGCGACGAUAUGUCGCAGAUAAAUGGCUGUCGCCGGAAACGGUACAGAACAUGGCUUACAAGA
rnacentral:RNase_P_RNA from 1 species